rnacentral:rRNA from 1 species
GAUGAACGCUGGCGGCGGGCCUAACACAUGCAAGUCGAGCGAACAGACGAGGAGCUUGCUCCUCUGACGGUAGCGGCGGACGGGUGAGUAACACGCGGAUAACUUACCUAUAAGACUGGGAUAACGGCGUGAAACCGGAGCGAAUACCGGAGAAUAUACUUAACCGCAUUGUUCAAUUGGUAAAGACGGUUGUGUUUGCAUUUAUUUAGGGAUUCGGGCCGCAUUAGCUUGUUGGUAAGGUAACGGCUUACCGAGGCAACGAUGCGUAGCCGACGUGAGAGGGUGAUCGUCCCCACUGGAACUGAGACGCGGUCCAGACCACUACGGGAGGCAGCGGAGGGGUAUGUUCUGUAGUGGGCGGAAGCGUGACGGAGCCCCGCCGCGUGGGUGAUGGGAGUCUUCGGAUAGUAAUUCUCUGCUAUUAGGGAAGAACAAAUGUGUGAGUAACUAUGCCCUUCUUGACGGUACCUAACCAGAAAGCAACGGCUAACUACGUG